rnacentral:rRNA from 1 species
GACGAACGCUGGCGGCGUGCCUAAUACAUGCAAGUAGAACGCUGAAGAGAGGAGCUUGCUCUUCUUGGAUGAGUUGCGAACGGGUGAGUAACGCGUAGGUAACCUGCCUGGUAGCGGGGGAUAACUAUUGGAAACGAUAGCUAAUACCGCAUGAAAUCGCUUAUCGCAUGAUAAUUAAUUGAAAGAUGCAAUUGCAUCACUACCAGAUGGACCUGCGUUGUAUUAGCUAGUUGGUGAGGUAACGGCUCACCAAGGCGACGAUACAUAGCCGACCUGAGAGGGUGAUCGGCCACACUGGGACUGAGACACGGCCCAGACUCCUACGGGAGGCAGCAGUAGGGAAUCUUCGGCAAUGGGGGGAACCCUGACCGAGCAACGCCGCGUGAGUGAAGAAGGUUUUCGGAUCGUAAAGCUCUGUUGUAAGAGAAGAACGGGUGUGAGAGNGGAAAGUUCACACNGNGACGGU